CUGAACUGUAAUGCUAAACGAGUGGAACACAACUGCAGAACUUUAAUUACUUCGAUUAUAAUUUUAUUGAAUUACAAACUUUGGUUACUGUAGCUUUAAACUCUUAUGACAGGUUAUUAGUUAGAAAAUAAGCCACUGAAGUUUUGUAUUAAGUCUACAAUUCUAAUUAAGGAUAGUGCAGAGUUUGCAUGCAGAAUUUAGAGUUGAAUUAAAUGCAGCAGAAAUAGCUUCCAAAGUUUGUAUGCAGAUUUAGUGUUGAAUUAAAUGCAGCAGAAAUAGCUUCCAAAGGUUGUAUGCAGAUUUAGUGUUGAAUUAAAUGCAGCAGAAAUAGCUUCCAAGGUUUCUAUGCAGAUUUAGUAUUGAAUUAAAUGCAGCAGAAAUAGCUUCCAGAGUUUGUAUGCAGAUUUAGUAUUAAUUGCAGAGGAAAUAGUUUUAAG